UAACAGAAUUUAAUUAUAACGCAACGAAAAUUAUAUCGUAUAUUUAUACAAUUAAAUUAAAAUGUUUUUCUAUAAAUAACCGUCGAGUGCUGCAAUUAUAAAUAUUUUUCAAUUUUGUUUAUGGUAUAAUAAUGCAAUGUCAAAACAAUAUGCAAUAUAAUAAUGCACAAAAAAGAAUAAUCUGCAAAUGUGUUGGAAAAAAGUAUAAAAUUGAAGAUUAUAAAACGAAGGAAAUGUUUGCUACUUGUUUUUACUAAUCAUUUUCAUUUGCAGUUAUGCAGAAUGUUUAUCGAUAUUAACAGUUAACAAUCAUUUAUGAUUCAAUAGCGGUAUUUAUUUCGAAACAUGAGUUGAAAGUUGUUGAUGAUGAUAUUUAUUGAUAAAAACAAAAACGAUUUUGCAUAUCUUGCGCUAUAGUAUCGUUAGUCGAUAAAAUACGCUGUUAUAUCGACUCGACACAGGAAAGUCGUUAAAACAUUCUCGCAUAUACUGCCAGGUUAUUGGCCCGGUUGGUGGUUGGUGGGACUGAUGGAAAACAGAGCCUCAUUCGCUCGCUAACCGUCGAGCGUGCGUUAGUUUUGUUUGUUUUCGGGCUCGACGUGCAUAUUGUUUUUCUGCGUCGUGGAACAAAAUUGUACCGUGUAAUAUCAAAGGCUUUAUAUAUCGCGACAAGUAAUAUUCGUGGGGGUGUUUUUUCCUUUUGUGUUGAAUCUGUGAAGUAUUGAAUGUUGUGUUUUAUUUUUCUAACCGUUUUACCGAAAAGUGCGCUUUGCGACUUUGUGCGACCGGCCUUGUUUUACUUUUGGAACUGAAGCAAACUCGACGAACUGGAAGGUUCUGAAAAUCGUAGCAGCAUUUCGAGCUUUAUUUCCAAAAUAUUCGGGGCACGGCAACACGAACCGUACCUGUCAUGUCGGUUCCUAUUUAAGAGCAGCAGAAUGUCG